rnacentral:rRNA from 1 species
UACGAAGGGUGCAAGCGUUACUCGGAAUUACUGGGCGUAAAGGGUGCGUAGGUGGUCGUUUAAGUCCGUUGUGAAAUCCCUGGGCUUAACCUGGGAAUGGCAGUGGAUACUGGACGGCUAGAAUGCGGUAGAGGGUAGUGGAAUUCCCGGUGUAGCAGUGAAAUGCGUAGAUAUGCGGAGGAACACCGAUGGCGAAGGCAAUCCCCUGGACCUGUACUGACGCUCAUGCACGAAAGCGUGGGGAGCAAACAGG